AGGAUUCGUCCAAGGGAAACAGAGGACAGUGGCGGACGGGUGAGUAACGCGUGAGGAACCUGCCUUUCAGAGGGGGACAACAGUUGGAAACGACUGCUAAUACCGCAUGAUAUAUUCGGGCGGCAUCGCUUGGAUAUCAAAGAUUUUAUCGCUGGAAGAUGGCCUCGCGUCCAAUUAGCUAGUUGGUGAGGUAACGGCCCACCAAGGCGACGAUUGGUAGCCGGACUGAGAGGUUGAACGGCCACAUUGGGACUGAGACACGGCCCAGACUCC
rnacentral:rRNA from 1 species